CCGCGUGAGGGAUGACGGCCUUCGGGUUGUAAACCUCUUUCACCAGGGACGAAGCGCAAGUGACGGUACCUGGGGAAGAAGCACCGGCCAACUACGUGCCAGCAGCCGCGGUAAUACGUAGGGUGCGAGCGUUGUCCGGAAUUACUGGGCGUAAAGAGCUCGUAGGUGGUUUGUCGCGUUGUUCGUGAAAACUCACAGCUUAACUGUGGGCGUGCGGGCGAUACGGGCAGACUAGAGUACUGCAGGGGAGACUGGAAUUCCUGGUGUAGCGGUGGAAUGCGCAGAUAUCAGGAGGAACACCGGUGGCGAAGGCGGGUCUCUGGGCAGUAACUGACGCUGAGGAGCGAAAGCGUGGGGAGCGAACAGGAUUAGAUACCCUGGUAGUCCACGCCGUAAACGGUGGGUACUAGGUGUGGGUUCCUUCCUUGGGAUCCGUGCCGUAGCUAACGCAUUAAGUACCCCGCCUGGGGAGUACGGCCGCAAGGCUAAAACUCAAAGGAAUUGAC
rnacentral:rRNA from 1 species